UGAAACACGGACCAAGGAGUCUAACAUGUGCGCAAGUCAUGGGGUUGUAAACCCAAAGGCGUAAUGAAAGUAAAGGUCAAUUCGGUUGACCGAGGUGAGAUCCCCGCAAGGGGCGCAUCACUGUCCCAUCGCAUCUGCUUGUCAGAGCGGUGGAGAAAAAGCGUACACGCUGGGACCCGAAAGAUGGUGAACUAUGCCUGAGCAGGAUGAAGUCAUCGGAAACGGUGAUGGAGGUCCGUAGCGGUUCUGACGUGCAAAUCGAUCGUCAGACUUGGGUAUAGGGGCGAAAGACUAAUCGAACCAUCUAGUAGCUGGUUCCCUCCGAAGUUUCCCUCAGGAUAGCUGGCACUUAAACGCAGUUUUACCCGGUAAAGCGAAUGAUAGAGGCCUUGGGGACGAAACGACCUCAACCUAUUCUCAAACUUUAAAUGGGUAAGAAGUCUCGCUUGCCUGACCGAAGCUCAGACAUUGAAUGCGAGUGCCAAGUGGGCCAUUUUUGGUAAGCA
rnacentral:rRNA from 1 species